rnacentral:lncRNA from 1 species
AUGUGAUUGAUGUUGAUUUCACCGACUCUAAAUGAGUUAAUAGAGAUUAUUGAAUAGAGGUUAUUUUUAUUUUAUGUUUCUCCUGUGCUAAAUUCUUAGGGAUUUUUGUCAAUUGAGUGUGAUCGGAUGUUCUCUUAAUAUAAUUAGACUUGAUUUGUUUAAUAUAGGUGCUCAUUGACGCACACACUUCUGUAUCUUUUGGAAAUUUUGUCUGAAUUACAUGUAUUGUGGAUGGAAUUUAUAUGCUGAAAAUGUUGUAAUUUGAUAUAAG